rnacentral:lncRNA from 1 species
GCUGGGCUGCCGGGUGCGCUGUGGAACCGCCUCCUGCUAGAGCAGCGGGCUGGCGACGGUCCUCGCCGGGGCGGGAAGCGGCUCAGGCUGCCCUCGCUGGCCUGCGGCGGCGCGGCUGGAAGCGCGGGCCACUCGUGCGUGGGUCACUCAGGACUGCGCCUCGCGCGACUGUGUGUGCAGGAAACAAGCAGGAAAUACCCUAAAAGAGAAUGAAGCGCCAUGUUGAGGGUCGCGGACGUCGCGAGUGCUGUGGGAAUGUGGGCUGAGGUGGAGAGUUAUGGUAGCCCGUGUUACAGGCUCAGGGGUCUGAAAGAAGCCUAAUCGUGGAGGCGGCAUCUGAGGAGGGUCUUGAAGGCUGGGCAGGCAUUUGCCCGACAGAGAUGGAGGAAGCUAGUCCUGUCUGAUGGAGGAAACAGGGCGGAGGCGUGGAGGGAGCCGUGCAGCGCUGGUGUGAGGAGCAGCGAGCAGGCCAGGCCUGUAAAGCAGAGUGAGGGAACCAGGAUAGAGAAGGCAAGUCGGGGUCCUGUGGUCGCUGAAGAAUUUGAAUGAAAUCAGUAAACAGGUGAGAGGGAUCCAUCGCAAGAGCAUGGGAUGAAAGGAGGAGUAGUCCACGGUGAUUCCUCUGCAGCGGUGGGUGUUAUUAAUCGCGUAUGUGACACCAAAACCACCCCACUCAAGCUGUGGCUCUUUCCCUAAAGUAGAAAACCGAGACCAGUUGGGUUCCAAGCAUCCACGAAGAUCUUAUUAAAUUCGUGAUCCCUGGUGGCACCAUGGAGUCAGGAUUGGCUCAUCUCAAACCUGACUCAGAAACAAAACCGUCACAAUGUGCAGAGAUGAGCGUCCUUACCGCUAUCAACGUAUUUUCUGGUGUUUUCACAGUGCUGCGCUUCCUAAUCCCCAUUCCAUGGCAAUCCACAUGCCAUGAUGCCCGGAGUCAUUAACAAAGGAGACACACAGGGGCUCCUCACGUUGGCUUUCCAGGGUUUUGAUGAAAAUCUGUUUCCUCGUCUCAUACAAUGUGGCUGUACAGGAAGCAUGGUGAUGGCAUCUGCAUGGCGCCUGUGGAGGCCCCAGGGAGCUUUUACUCAUGAUGGAAGGCACAGAGGGAGUAGGCACAUCACAUGGUCCGAGGAGGAGCAAGAGAAAAUGGGAGUGGGGGCUGCAACUCUCCUGUUACUCUGGGGGAAAGCUUAACAACUAAGAUUCAGAGCAAAGGAAGACGAUGCCGGCAGCAGGCUUUGGGUGCUUGUGGGGCAGCAGGUUGUACCAGGGGCAGGUGCAGACCCCUGCCUCCCUUGCCUUCACCACAGUCACAACAGGCCAGGCCAGCCCAUCCAUCAUGUCUCUAGGAUAUCUCAGGGGUUCAAGGCCACCACACCAUUUGCAGCACACUCCACUCGCUGAUCUGUGAUAUGGGAGAUGUGCUUAUUGGCGAAUAAAUCACCAUGUCAAGUUAACGGCCUGUGUCCAAGGCGAGUGACUUCGAGGUCAGCAUAGCAGCAUACCAUUGGAUGCAGCGGGUUCUGCUUCUGCGCACAGUGCCUCAUCAGAACAUAAAUUUUCAAAUACCAGAUGUGAUAAAAGACAACAUCGAGCUUUCUGUUUUUUGAAGGAGAGGAGAAGGAGAUCCUGGAUACAUUCUCUGAAAGGUGCCUCCACUUCAUCACUGAUCCCGACACGUGGGAGGAAGGAGAGGAGGACAGUGAAGACCAUCAGCAAGGGAGAGCAGGUUCCCUGCCCUGGAUCCCUGCCCUGGUCCCCUGCCCUGAUUCCCUGCCCCAUGUUGUAGGUCUUUGGGCUACAUUUCUACCCAUUGGCUGAACAUAAAAACUGUCCUAUGAACUAUUUGGCAGCAAGUUCACAGCAAAGAAUAUUAACUCUGUGAGGCACCUUAGACAAUGCCUGGCUUAACCCCCACUUGACAAAUAAAGACACAUGUUCUGACUCACCCACCAUCCCAGGAGCAACUGACCAGGCUGAGGAACUCUGUCCACUGCCUGCAGCCCACUUGGCCUUCCACUGUGACGUCCAGGCUGAGGAACUGUGUCUGCCACCUGCAGCCCACUUGGCCUUCCACUGUGAUGUCCUUUCCAGGACUCUGAGCAGAGAUGGGUUUAUAACAAGCAUAAAUUGUUAUUUUGUAUCGAUCUGCACAUCAAUUUAUAUAUUUUGAAAAUUAAAAGAAAUCCAAUGAUAAGAAUUUUUCUCACAAGUUAAUUAAGGAAACUAGGUCAAUGGAAAUUUCUUAGGUUAUGAAAAUAUUGAUGUGAAUAUGUUAUGUGAGAAUCAUUUCAAAAUGAGUUAAAGGGGCUGGGCACAGUGGUUCACACCUGUAAUCCCAGCACUUUGGGAGGCCAAGGUGGGUGGAUCAUGAGGUCAAGACAUUGAGACCAUCCUGGCCAACAUGGUGAAACCCUGUCUCUACUAAAAAUACAAAAAUUAGCCAGGCAUGGUGGCACAUGCCUGUAGUCCCAGCUACUCAGGAGGCUGAGGCGGGAGAAUAGCUUGAACCUGGGAGGUGGAGGUUGCUGUCACGCGACUGCACUCCAGCCUGGUGAGAGAGCAAGAGAGCAAGACUCCGUCUCAAAAAAAAAAAAAAAAAAAAAAACAAACCAGGAGUUACAGGAAUCUAGGAUAUUUUGCUUUCUGUCCCUAAACUUUGGGGCUUAAUUUGGCAGAAACUUGGGAGUGGGAGGGUGAAGUUUGUGGCGUCCUGCUUGCCUUGAAUUUGUGGUGGCCACAGAAUGCAGGCUUGACUUCAUGCAGGUUCUCAUACAUCAUUAUGGAGAACAUCUUUUUGUAUUUACUUCAAUAUUUAUUUUGUAGUGAAAAUAAAAGCAAUACCAGUUUUCUGAAGGGUUUCUUAAAUCAAUUCCUUUGUGUCCUAUAGGGCAAUACUUUGCUCCUAGAGAAGUCUGUGAACCAUUGGUGUCUUUGAUUUGUCUCAUUAGAACGCCCACCCUCAU